UUGCCCUUCUGAAGUUGGAAUCUGUAAUGAUUUAAAACAUGAGACUGGUCCAGUGGGCUUGUUGCUCCAGACCUCAUGCCUUCUGGACCCAGACAUCUCUGCAAUCUCGGAACUGGAAUACACCACUUCUUGUCAAGGUACUAGCAAGUUGACUAUGAACUGCUGGGAGAUAAGACCAUCUGAUUUAUCCGUGUACAUACAGCAGCUAGCAC
rnacentral:lncRNA from 1 species